rnacentral:rRNA from 1 species
AGAGUUUGAUCCUGGCUCAGAUUGAACGCUGGCGGCGUGCCUAAUACAUGCAAGUCGAGCGGUAACAGGUGUAGCAAUACAUGCUGACGAGCGGCGAACGGGUGAGUAACGCUUCGGAAUCUACCCAGUAGCGGGGAAUAACUAGCCGAAAGGUUAGCUAAUGCCGCAUACGACCUACGGGUGAAAGCGGGGGAUCGCAA